GACGAACGCUGGCGGCGUGCCUAAUACAUGCAAGUAGAACGCUGAAGGAGGAGCUUGCUCUUCUGGAUGAGUUGCGAACGGGUGAGUAACGCGUAGGUAACCUGCCUGGUAGCGGGGGAUAACUAUUGGAAACGAUAGCUAAUACCGCAUAACAGUAGAUGUUGCAUGACAUUUACUUAAAAGGUGCAAUUGCAUCACUACCAGAUGGACCUGCGUUGUAUUAGCUAGUUGGUGGGGUAACGGCUCACCAAGGCGACGAUACAUAGCCGACCUGAGAGGGUGAUCGGCCACACUGGGACUGAGACACGGCCCAGACUCCUACGGGAGGCAGCAGUAGGGAAUCUUCGGCAAUGGACGGAAGUCUGACCGAGCAACGCCGCGUGAGUGAAGAAGGUUUUCGGAUCGUAAAGCUCUGUUGUAAGAGAAGAGCGAGUGUGAGAGUGGAAAGUUCACACUGUGACGGUAUCUUACCAGAAAGGGACGGCUAACUACGUG
rnacentral:rRNA from 1 species